AUUGAACGCUGGCGGCAGGCCUAACACAUGCAAGUCGAGCGGAUGAAGGGAGCUUGCUCCUGGAUUCAGCGGCGGACGGGUGAGUAAUGCCUAGGAAUCUGCCUGGUAGUGGGGGAUAACGUCCGGAAACGGGCGCUAAUACCGCAUACGUCCUGAGGGAGAAAGUGGGGGAUCUUCGGACCUCACGCUAUCAGAUGAGCCUAGGUCGGAUUAGCUAGUUGGUGGGGUAAAGGCCUACCAAGGCGACGAUCCGUAACUGGUCUGAGAGGAUGAUCAGUCACACUGGAACUGAGACACGGUCCAGACUCCUACGGGAGGCAGCAGUGGGGAAUAUUGGACAGUGGGCAAAAGCCUGAUCCAGCCAUGCCGCGUGUAUGAAGAAGGUCUUCGGAUUGUAAAGCACUUUAAGUUGGGAGGAAGGGCAGUAAGUUAAUACCUUGCUGUUUUGACGUUACCAACAGAAUAAGCACCGGCUAACUUCGUG
rnacentral:rRNA from 1 species